CUCUGGAAACAACAGUUCGUGCUGGGCCAGGGCCAGGGCCAGGGUCAGCACGUCUGGAAUGGGCAGUCCCAGGAGCCAAGUCACAUUCACCGAAGCUCUGAGAGGGAUCGAGGCGUGGCCCUGUGGAACUGCAAACAAGGCAGGCGGGGCCAGCUGGGGAAGGGACCUCACAGGAGCCUCCCUGCCUGCUGAGGGUUGGGGCUUGCUCAAGGGCAGGGCCAUGUGGGAGGCCAGCAGGGCUGGAAAUGAGCGCUGGGGGAUCAUGUGCCUGAGGCCUCUCUUUAAGACACCCCAAGAUAGGAUCGCAGAGCUGUGAGUCCCCCAACACCGGCCCUCCCACCUUUCCUGCUCAUCUUGGCUCCUUCUCUGCUUCCACGGCCCUCGCCUCUGAGUUUGCCCCAUCAGCCACCAGAAGUCCUGGCUGGAGGCGAUUCUUGGCCGAUGCAGAUUGAUAGAACAUUUGCUUUUUGACGAAGCCCAGCCUGGCAGCUAGAGUUUGCAUGGCCCUGAGAUACUGCAUAAUCUUUCUCAUCAUCAUCAAUGUGCAAAGUACUUCGGUAUCAUCACCUACCUGACUUCCUGUGGCUGGAAGCCUCACUUCUGUGUUCACGACUCAAAGCUAGCUAUUCGCCAGUCUGCCUGGGCUGUCAGACCCGGGGGCAGCAGAGAAUGGGGACUGGCUUUGGAGGAGGGAGAGGUACUCUAGCCUGCCCUCAACCUGGCUCUGGAGCUGAGCCCUGCAAAAGGUUGGAUCUUACUAGUUUCGCUUCUGGAGGACUCAGCAAUCUCCGGGUCCUGGGUUCUGGUUUCAAGUUGUCCGCAAACACUGCCAAGGACAAGAUGACUGGUGGUGCCACCAUGUGUUUCUGAAAAUAAGAAAGAACUGAAAAAUAAUCAGCCUUGAAAGCUAGAGAUAAAAAAUGCCAUGGCUGGGCAUUUAGCUCAGUGGUUCUGCUGCCUGCCUUGUAACCACAAGGUCCCGAGUUCGAUCCCUGGUACCCCCCCACCAAAAGAAAGCCAGCCCCAGGAAAACAGGCUGUCCACAUGCUGAAGAUUAAAUCUAGACCCACAUCUCUCACCGUGCACUAAACUAAAAUGGAAAUGGAUCAAAGAUCUAAAUAUAAAGACAGAAACAAUCUGCUGGAAGAGAGGUUAGGUGGAACUCUUGAAGACAUUGGCGUAGGAAAAGACUUUGUGAACAAAACCCUGAUUGCACGGGAGCUAUCACAAAGAAUCAACAACUGGGAUCUCAGCAUAUUAAAAAGCUUCUGCACAGCAAAAGAAAUCACUAAGAGGGUAAAGAGACAACCCACAGAAUGGGAAAAAUUUUUUUACUGGCUACUCCUCAGACAUAGGACUAAUAUCUAGAAUAUAUAAAAAACUAAAAACUAAAAACAAAAACAAAAAUCAGACCCCCCCAAACUUGAAGACCCAAUUCAAAAAUGGGCAUCUGAAAUGAACAGUCAUUUCUCAGAUGUAGAAGUACAAACAGGAGAUAAAUAUAUGAAAAAAUGCUUGACAUCACUGGUCAUUUGAGAAAUACAAAUUAAAACAACACUGAGAUUCCAUCUCACUCCAGAAAGAAUGGCUGUCAUCCAGAAAUCAGCCAAUAACAAAUGCCGGCGGGGGUGUGGGGAAAAAGGAACCCUUCUCCACUGUUGGUGGGAGUAUAAACUGGUGCAACCACUGUGGAAAUCAGUGUGGAAAUUCCUCAAAAAACUGGAACUAGAGGUUCCAUUUGACCCAGCUAUUCCCCUUCUAGGUAUCUUCCUGAAAGUUAAAAGCAUCGUACCACAGUGAUAUAUGCGUACUCAUGUUGAUAGCAGCACAAUUUAUAAUAGCUAAAUCUUGGAAACAGCCCAUAUGCCCAUUAAAAAAUGAAUGGAUCAAGAAAAUAGUACUCUGCCAUAAAGAAGGAUAAACUUGAAUCCUUUGUAGGAAAAUGGAUGCACCUUGAGACCAUAAUCUCAAGUGAAAUAAAUCAGACACACAAGUUUAAAUACCGCAUUGUUUCUCUUGAGAAACCCAAAGGGUAUAUGAUGAGGAACAUAGUGGAGGAUAGAUACUGUGAAGUAGGUAGAGAAUGUUCAAAUGGGAAGAGG
rnacentral:lncRNA from 1 species